UACGGAGGGUGCAAGCGUUAUCCGGAUUCACUGGGUUUAAAGGGUGCGUAGGUGGGCCUGUAAGUCAGUGGUGAAAUCUCCGGGUUUAACCCGGAAACUGCCAUUGAUACUAUAGGUCUUGAAUUUUCUGGAGGUCAGCGGAAUAUGUCAUGUAGCGGUGAAAUGCUUAGAUAUGACAUAGAACACCAAUUGCGAAGGCAGCUGGCUACAGGAACAUUGACACUGAGGCACGAAAGCGUGGGGAUCAAACAGG
rnacentral:rRNA from 1 species